AGUGCGGGCGCAGCGGCCCCGGCCCUGGAAGCGCCCCGGCGGAGCUGGCCCGCGGUGGGCUAGGGGCAGGGCCGGAGCCGCGGCGGCGGAACUGCGGAUCCUUCAUGAUGAGAGAUUUGGGGACACUUCUCUCUCCUGUGUGUAGUUGAUAGUUUGGUGGUGAAGAGAUGGCUGACAGUGUCAAAACCUUUCUCCAGGACCUUGCCAGAGGAAUCAAAGACUCCAUCUGGGGUAUUUGUACCAUCUCAAAGCUAGAUGCUCGAAUCCAGCAAAAGAGAGAGGAGCAGCGUCGAAGAAGGGCAAGUAGUGUCUUGGCACAGAGAAGAGCCCAGAGUAUAGAGCGGAAGCAAGAGAGUGAGCCACGUAUUGUUAGUAGAAUUUUCCAGUGUUGUGCUUGGAAUGGUGGAGUGUUCUGGUUCAGUCUCCUCUUGUUUUAUCGAGUCUUUAUUCCUGUGCUUCAGUCGGUAACAGCCCGAAUUAUCGGUAAGUGUAUACCCUGCUCCUUGUCUGUUGGGGACAGAGUGGGAGAUGAUGUUUCAGUCUCCCUCAGUUUACUGAACAUUUCCUGUGUACCAGGAGCUUUUGCUGUUUCUUUUUUGUUGUUUUAUUCUUUUUAAAAAUUUAUAUUUCGUUAUUCUCCUAGAGGCCCUUUAAGAAUGGGUACUGUUAUUCUAUCCAUUUUAUGAAUGAGGAAAUGCAAGUUACCAAGGUUAAACCAUUAGUAAGAGGCAAAGCUGAGAUUUAAACCCAGAUGGUAUCCUGCAAAUAGUGUACUGGUAAUCACUGUGGCAUCUCG
rnacentral:sRNA from 1 species